GGCAAGAUGGCCGAGUGGUCUAAGGCGCUGUGUUUAGGCUUGUCACAAAGCUCAAAUCCGCAGUCUUCACGGGCGUGGGUUCGAAUCCCACUCUUGUCA